UACGUAGGGUGCAAGCGUUAAUCGGAAUUACUGGGCGUAAAGCGUGCGCAGGCGGUGAUGCAAGUCAGAUGUGAAAUCCCCAGGCUUAACCUGGGAACUGCAUUUGUGACUGCAUUGCUGGAGUGCGGCAGAGGGGGAUGGAAUUCCGCGUGUAGCAGUGAAAUGCGUAGAUAUGCGGAGGAACACCGAUGGCGAAGGCAAUCCCCUGGGCCUGCACUGACGCUCAUGCACGAAAGCGUGGGGAGCAAACAGG
rnacentral:rRNA from 1 species